rnacentral:ncRNA from 1 species
CAGUGUUGAUAUAAAGCCUUGUUUCAAGGUGCAGUGCUUUAUAGAUCUGAACGUUUAGCACAACUUGAAUAGGCGUGCAGUAAUGCUAAAAGAACCCGUUUUAA